GUAAUCUUCAACCACGUGCUCCUACUCAAAAUGAAGAUAGCCAUAGAGGGUUACUGUCAUGGGAAGUUAGACCUUAUUUAUGAUAAACUACUCAAAAUCCAAGAGAGAGAAGGAAUUAAAAUAGAUCUAUUACUCUGUUGUGGUGAUUUCCAAGCAAUUAGAGAUCAAGAUGAUCUUAACUGUAUGGCAGUCCCUGACAAGUAUAAGGAAAUCGGAUCCUUCCACAAAAAACCUCUACUCCAUCAAGUUCACUGAUAAAUCUUCUUUAUGGUGAAGAUGAUGAUGAGAAGGUUAGGCCUCCUUUGACAAUACAGCCACCAUCUUCCCCCAGACCAACACACAGAGCUGUUAAAUCUAAAAGAGCUUCAUCAAUAGUACGUUCUCCAUAUUUGGCAGCUGUUGCUCCACCACGUCAAUCUGUUGUACCUCAUCACUCUCCAUCAACUAAAAGAUCAUCACCAGUCAAAGCUACACAAGUUUACAAAAAUGGAUUAUUUGUACCUAUUAAAAGAAAGUCAGCUUCAAACAAAGCAACUGAUGUUGAUUCUACAGUGGAUUAUGCUGGUAAAACUGCACUGGAUCUUCGUGAUGAGCUAACGGCAAUGAAGAAGAACCUAUCAGCCACUGAAGAACAAAGAGACAUAUUCAGAGGAGAAGUGAUAAAAUCAUAAACAAUUAGUGAAGAAAGACAAAGAGAUAGAGGAUCUUAUAAUGAGUGGUCAUGUUAGCACUAGAGACAGAGCUAGGAUCAACACUGGGAAUAAACCUGAUGUACUUUUAGUUAGGAGUUCUAAUUAAUGCACAGCAUGUGCUUGUACCGUAUAAGUAGUUUUUUGAGGGAAUUAUAUUUCGCAAAAUCUGCUAAAAUUCCAAUUUGUGGAUUUUAAUUUUGUGAAUUCUACCAUGUGUGCCAUGCGGGUACCGUAUUAAAGUGAUUUUUGCGGAUUUUAAUUUCGCAAAUCAGGAGAGAAUCUGUAAAAUUUGCAACCCUCGAAAAAAGCACUUAUACGGUAUGUACAUUGUAUGUGCACUUUAAGUUCCUUUUUAUCAGCAUCAGAAAAUUUACCAAAAUUAAUAAAGAGUUCUUUCCCAGUAUUUUAGGAUAUUUUUUGGCCAAGUAUUGCAUGCUUUAUAGUAUAGGCCACGUACAAUGUUAGAUGGUGGAGCACAAUAAUAUUUCUCAUUGAUACAAGGAGCAGCAAUAUCAGCACUAGUACAAAUGGAAUCAACUGUUGAUGAGAAAAGUAAAGAAAUUGAGAAACUGAGAGAAGAGAUGACAAGUAUCACUCAGAAACACAAUGAAGAAUACAAAGGUUAUUAAUUGUCCUUCACAGAAGAGGUAACUACCAUAAUUAGAAAAGGAGCAGAAUGAGUUGAUUCAGUACUUGCAGAUUUGGUUAAGACCACUGUAAGAGACAAGUGUUUAUCACUCACUAUGAGAAAAUACAGAGACAAAUAAUUAUUAAUGGGCAUACAACAACUGUACUAAAAUUCUUUUGGAUAUUAUGCUAGAAGUGAAA
rnacentral:misc_RNA from 1 species